CUUUCUGUCCCAGAAGAACAUAAUGUGUGUGUAUGGAAAAGUGGAAUUCUUCCUGAAAACCUUUCACUGGUUUUGGCCAAAGAGGCUUCAUUUUUUCCCCUCAUUCAGUGAAAAGUUAAAGUUUUCAGUGGAAAUAAGCUUUUCAAGUGACUUUAUACUUAGCUCUUUUACAGUAUGUUCAGAAAAAAAAAAAGCAAAUUUUGUUCUUUGCGAUGCACCAGCAUGUCGUGCAGAGGUUUCUUUUUUUUUAAUGUUUUUCCUCCACCCCCUUCUCCAGGGAAGUGCAUGCCCACAUAUGCCUUGCAUGAUUUCAGGGGCUUCAUCAUUAAAUGGAAUUAACUUAAUGCCUGUAAAGGGUCUAAGCUGGUAAAGAUCAGGCCUUUAUUAAUCAGGUCACCCAGCACUGAAAGAUUAAGAGAAACAAAGGACUUUGAGCCUUGAAGAUGAGCAAAGCCAUGAUGAUUUAUACCAUCAUUUUGCAACAAAAGAUGGAACUGUUGUUCAGCCCCAUGGAUUUUGGAGGCAGAUUUUUUCCAUGGCAUCCCAGCUCUGUUUCAUCUCACUUUCUUUGCCAAAAGCUACCAUGGAUGUGUUUUAACAGAGAUGCUAACACAUAGGCAUCCACUAGCUGAAUGCCAGAGCUCAUGCCCUGCUGAGACAGCCUCCAGUGAAGCCUCACCUAGCUUGAACCUUCACCAGGGUGCAACAUGAGCUGCCAACUGGCAAGCUAGUAGAGGAUAGACUGCUGGCUGCGUCUUCAGCGAGACUGACCCUGUGAGCAUAAGCCCUUCAAUCGCACCACAGAGCCAAUGUUCUGAUGCUUGCACUAUCACGUUUCCCUCAGCUUGAGCUUGCUCUGGAGCUGAAAUUCCCUCCUCUCCUGCAAUUGGAAGAGCCAUGCAGCCACUUCCAGUAAAGGAGAUGUCAAUUCAGAGCAGGAGUUUGGGCACAGCUACUGUGUAACAGGCUUUUCAUCACCCACCCUGGAAAGUGGAGCUGGCAGUGAGGGAAGGGGGACCAUGCAGCCAGCAUCCAGCAGGGAGGCUGCUACAAAGCAACCGCCACCUUGAACAGCUCUCUGAUGGGAGGACCGGCUCGAUUUUUCCCUCUGCAGGAAUAUUGAGAGACCUGAUUAGAGCUUAAACAACCUCUUAAGGAAGGGACAUAGCAAUUUAUACCGUCCCUGUUGGUCCCAGCUGUCUUAGUAGGAAACAAUUAGGCACACUGCUACUUUUAAAACAGCUUAUGAAAUAGAGCUAGCCAAAGCAAAAAUAAUCCCCAAACUUAUAAUUAAAAAGAGAAACAGUUUAGAAUCUAACUUGCUGUAGUUUAGAAAAGAUCAUGCUUACAUUUUCUGUGAAUAUUGCUGUCAGAAAAAAAAGUGCACAAAAAUAUUCAUAGGAGUCAAAAGUCUAUAGUAAUGUCUCUACUGACUGUUCUUUCCUUUCUGCACUCUGUAGGCCUCUGAAGAAGAUUUUUUUUUUUUUUUUUAAAAAAAGGCAAGUUCUUGUCAGUUUGAGAACAAGCAGGCUGCAAGUUCUCCUUCCCCCCUUCCCUUCACAGUGGCUUUAUCCAUGCAGCCUUUCAUGCUCCUACACAGAAGGGCUCCUAUUUUCCAAGAAUAACCGGUGCCUUCACUUAACAGCACCUUAAAGGGACCUGGUUUGCCGAUUCCUCUCUCAGCAUCUCAGCUCAAGCACUGCAUUCGACUACAGUUUUGAACACAUCAGUGUUAAUAUUCAGACCUGAGGUGCCCACCGAAGGGAUCACAUUCAGCCAGGGGAUGUUCAAGAAUCCAGCUAUGCUUUGAGGCCAGCAUCCCCAGGCACUGCUGUUCCCACACGCAGCUCGGAUGCCAAAUACACGUUGUGCUUUGCCAGUUUGUUUCCACUAUCAUUUGUCUCCCCAUUGAACGCCAGCCUGAAUCUGACAGUGACUCACAUCAGGUUAAUCCUAGCUCCGAAGAGGCAGAAAUAAUUGUAUCUCUAUCUGGAGUAACAACGCAGCACCACAUCCCAAAUGUUUUACGGCAGGAAGCAAAGAACAUCCUAUUCAUGGGAAACCACCUCAAAGGUCAUCUAAGGACCGCAUUCCCUAAAGCCUAAAUUUUGCUUGAAUACAAGAACCAGCAAUGCUGUUCUCUUGGAAGAUGUGGCAGAAAUCUCUUUGUAUUGGAAAGAAACAAGCUCUGAUAACACAUCAUUAAAAAACCACUAACAAGG